UAAUAUUCGACGCCUACUUUAGUCUAGCCAAGUGUUGCCUGAAUUUUUCUUUGUGUUUAUUUUUUGUGUGUGUUGUCAUUGUGCUCUUUAUUUUAUUAAAAACUUUUAUAAUAUGCCUUAUACCUGUGCUUUUCGUGGAUGUCAUUCAAAGACAGGGUGUGGUGUUUCUUUCUUUGCUUUUCCGCAGGAAGAAGAUCGUGCCAAGUUAUGGCUGGCAGCUUGCUAUAGAACAGACUUGUUUUCGAUACCUAGAGAACAACUAACCAGGAACUAUAAGCUCUGUGAGCACCAUUUUGAUGAGAAGUUUUAUAGUGCAGGGCCCUCAAGAAAGCGUUUGUUACCUAACGCGUUACCAACAUUAUUUCCUAAUCCCACAAAAAGAACUUGUGAAGGUGAACAGCUUGAGGAUGGACCGCCAAAAAAAAUCUCAAAGGAAAAGGACAUAAAAAUUCUAGCAGGCCCAAGCACUUCACAAUAUUCAGUGUGCGGGCCCCUCGGCAACCUCCUAUCUAUCGAAAUAGAUAAACCGUCCGAGAAUUCUCCACCAGGCCUUCUUUCUCCGUCAGCUUCUACUCAGACUUCUUCUCAGCUGAGUAGUAACACUUCCCGAAAGCGAAAUCUUCGACUGCAAAUUAAAAAAAUGAGAAAGUUUGGUGUAACUGCUAAAGCACGCCAAAAAGAAGAUCCUGAUGUAAGAGAUUUUAACAGGUUAUGUGACAAAUUUCUAAGUAAACCUUUGGCAUGUGUUAUUAAAACUCAUGUGGCACUAAAGGGCAAGAGACGCAAAUCUCAUAGAUUUUCUAUGGAAUUAAAACAAUUUGCCUUAACAUUGCAUUUUUUAAGCCCCAAGGCAUAUAAAUUCAUAGGUAGUUUGCUUACUCUACCAACAAAAAGAAGUCUUGCAGGAUUUGAAGGAUUUAUGAGAAUUUGAAGGAUUUGCAGAUCUUGGUGAGCAAACCGAAGAACCAUUUAUUUGUGAAAAUGCGUUAGUUAUUAUGGCUAGAGGAUUAUAUUCUUCCUGGAAGCAACCUUUAGCGUAUUUUUUAGUAGGUUCACAAUUAAAAGCCUCCAAAUUAAAAACCAUUAUAGGGGAGCUUAUUCCUAAAUUACUGAAAAUUGGACUUAAAAUAGAAGGUAUUGCUAGUGAUAUGGGGUCAUAUUUUAUUGAACUUUCUAAAUUGUUAGGUGUGACACAUGAAAACCCAGAAUUUCAAUUCGGAGACCAAAACUUGUAUAUUUCGAUCCAUGUCAUCUAGUCAAAGCAACAAGAAAUAAUCUAUUUAAUCAUUCAUUUCACUUUGACGAAAAAAAAACAUCAUGGACUUUCAUAAAUGAUUUCUAUCGUGCAGAUAAACAACAGCUUUAUAGAUGUGCCCCAAAGUUGACAGAUUCCCAUAUAUGUCCCUCAGCAUUUGAAAAAAUGAAAGUAGGUCUCGCUAGCCAAGUUCUUAGCCAUACUGUGGCAAGUGAGAUGAAUACUUAUGUAACUGUAGGUGCACUCCCUGCCGAUGCAUUUGGAACCAUAGAGGUAAUUGAGAAAUUCAAUAACCUCUUUGAUUUAUUAAACUCAAUAUCCUUGGGAGAUCCCUGUAAAUUUACAAAUGUUUAUGAUGGAUCACCAUACCAAAUAGAAUUUUUCCAUGAGAUGUUACUUUUUUUAAACAAAUUAAAAAUUUUUAACUCUAGCAAUAAAGAUAUCACAAAUUCUGUGAAAUUUCGUAAUUGCUGGAUGGUUACAAUCAGAAGCACGAUAAAAAUAUGGGAAAAAUUAUCAACAUUGGGUUACAAGUAUCUCAAGACUAGGAGGUUAAAUACAGAUUGUAUCGAAAAUUUCUUUGGUGCUGUAAGGCAGCAAAGUGGGAAUAAUGUUAAUCCAACACCACUGCAAUUCCAAAGAGCGUUUAAAAAGCUGCUCUGUCAGAAUUACUUACAUUUGGAAAGAAUGAAUUGUAAAAAUGAUUUGGAUAGUAUAUUGAUGAACGUCAAAUCCAUCAAUAUACCGGAAAUUUUCAAUGAAAAAAAAUUUGAAGUUGCAAAAGGUAUUUUAGUUUUGAAGUGCAAACUAUACUUAUAGGACCGACCAUAUUCCCACAGAAAAUGCCUUUCGGUAUGUUUGUGGCUAUAUUAUGAAAAGAGCACUUGAAGUUCAUAUUAAUUGUGAUACCUGCACCAAUUUCGGCAAAAUGUGUGAUGAAAUGGAUAUAAAUAGAUUAUUUCUUCAUUUUAAGGCUUAUAAUUCCAGUAUAUGUAACUUUGGUGGCUUAGAACAUUGAAAGGCUAGAAUUAGUAAACAACAACUUUGUUUGAGUCCAACAUGUGCACAGGGGCAAGAGGGGUGUUUUGUAUACAAACAUAUUUGCCGAUUCUCUGUUGUCAAGUCGACACAAAUUUCCAACGGAGGAAAUUUUUCAGCUAUAUUUUAACAACCAUUAUAACGUUAAUUUAACUUCUUUGUGUUGUAUUUUAUAGGAAAAUUUAAAAUAAAAAGUAUAAAUACUACAAUUAACCUAUUUUAAGAAUAAAUAUAAUAUCCUUAAGCAAAAAAAAAAAACAAAAUUAUUAACAUUCUUAUCCCUAAAACUGCUUCUAAAAAAUUUGAAGCGACAACACCGGAGCUUAAGCGCCUGAGCCAUACGCGUAGUGUCAUCUGUCAAACGGCUUUUUGUUUAUUUUCGGGAUUCGUGUAUUUUCUUUAAUUUUUGGUUUCAAAAUGAAAAAGGCCACAUUUUAGUGUUUUUUUUAAUUGCUAGGAUGGCAAAAACUUGUGUCGUUUGUGCCGCAUCAUGAUAAAAAGGUGAUUCAAGCCGAUCUUUUCACAAGAUUUCUGAUGCACUGGUUAAAAACACAGCAGCUGAUAAUUCAGUUAAUUUACCAAGUGAUUUACCCUUCAAAGCUGCAGGGGUAGCUUUCCUGAAGAGUGCAAAAACUUCUUUAGCUUCCAAAAUGGUAUAUAGUACAAAUAGUGAAGCUACUAUAGACAAGUAUGGAUAAUUAAAAUAGAUUAAUAUUCUUGAUACACCAAAUUUUGUAUAAUUACAGAUCUGAUCAUUCAUCAUCAACAAUAACUGCAUCUGAGAUUAAUAGUUCUACAGUAACCGUGGGGUCUAGGUCAACAAUUACUAUUUCUCAUCCAAGCCGUUUUUGUUUAACUGCUGCACAUUCCCUGACUCUGCCAAGGAAAAGGGUAAAAUCAAAAUGAUAUCCUGAGGACCUAAGCACUGAUGAUUCCACCGUUUCAAAAGCUAAAUCACUUGUUACCAAAUUAUAGAAAAAAAAUAAAGAACAAAAAAUUAAAAUUCAAAGAUUGCAAUAAACAAAUUUGCCCCAAAGAAAUUGAAUUAGAUAUCUCAAGUCAUUAUUAAAAUACUUAAGAAAUAAUAACAUGAUUUUCGA